CACGGGUGAGUAACACGUAUCCAACCUACCGAUAACUCCGGAAUAGCCUUUCGAAAGAAAGAUUAAUACCGGAUAGUAUACGAAUAUCGCAUGAUAUUUUUAUUAAAGAAUUUCGGUUAUCGAUGGGGAUGCGUUCCAUUAGUUUGUUGGCGGGGUAACGGCCCACCAAGACUACGAUGGAUAGGGGUUCUGAGAGGAAGGUCCCCCACAUUGGAACUGAGACACGGUCCAAACUCCUACGGGAGGCAGCAGUGAGGAAUAUUGGUCAAUGGACGAGAGUCUGAACCAGCCAAGUAGCGUGAAGGAUGACUGCUCUAUGGGUCGUAAACUUCUUUUAUAUGGGAAUAAAGUUUUCCACGUGUGGAAUUUUGUAUGUACCAUAUGAAUAAGGAUCGGCUAACUCCGUGCCAGCAGCCGCGGUAAUACGGAGGAUCCGAGCGUUAUCCGGAUUUAUUGGGUUUAAAGGGAGCGUAGGUGGAUUGUUAAGUCAGUUGUGAAAGUUUGCGGCUCAACCGUAAAAUUGCAGUUGAAACUGGGAGUCUUGAGUACAGUAGAGGUGGGCGGAAUCGUGGUUAGCGGU
rnacentral:rRNA from 1 species